UACGUAGGGUGCGAGCGUUAAUCGGAAUUACUGGGCGUAAAGCGCACGUAGUCGGCUUUGCAAGUCGGUUGUGAAAUCCCCGGGCUCAACCUGGGAACUGCAUCCGAGACUGCAUUGCUAGAGUAUGGGAGAGGAAAGCGGAAUUUCUGGUGUAGCAGUGAAAUGCGCAGAUAUCAGAAGGAACAUCAGUGGCGAAGGCGGCUUUCUGGACCAAUACUGACGAUCAGGUGCGAAAGCGUGGGGAGCAAACAGG
rnacentral:rRNA from 1 species